AUUGAACGCUGGCGGCAGGCCUAACACAUGCAAGUCGAGCGAGUGGCGGACGGGUGAGUAAUGUCUGGGAAUCUGCCUGAUGGAGGGGGAUAACUACUGGAAACGGUAGCUAAUACCGCAUACUAUCGGAUGUGCCCAUAUGGGAUUAGCUAGUAGGUGGGGUAAAGGCUCACCUAGGCGACGAUCUCUAGCUGGUCUGAGAGGAUGACCAGCCACACUGGGACUGAGACACGGCCCAGACUCCUACGGGAGGCAGCAGUGGGGAAUAUUGCGCAAUGGGGGCAACCCUGAUGCAGCCAUGCCGCGUGAAUGAAGAAGGCCUUCGGGUUGUAAAGUUCUUUCGGUGGCGAGGCGUUAACUACAGAAGAAGCACCGGCUAACUCCGUGCCAGCAGCCGCGGUAAUUC
rnacentral:rRNA from 1 species